CAGGAAAUAGUUUUAUUGAAAAUUUUAAUUUUGGGAAUUAAAGAAAAGGUGAAUAUCUUUUUUCUGA
rnacentral:tRNA from 1 species